rnacentral:rRNA from 1 species
CCUACGGGUGGCAGCAGUAGGGAAUAUUGCACAAUGGGGGAAACCCUGAAGCAGCAACGCCGCGUGUAGGAUGAAGGUUUUCGGAUUGUAAACUCCUUUUGUUAGGGAAGAUAAUGACGGUAUCUAACACCUAAGCACCGGCUAACUCCGUGCCAGCAGCCGCGGUAAUACGGAGGGUGAAAGCCUGACUCGGAAGGACUGGGCGUAAAGUGCGCGGAGGCGGGAUAGCAAGUCAGAUGUGAAAUCCUAGGGCUUAACCAUAGAACUGCAUUUGAAACUGGUAGUCUAGAGUAUGGGAGAGGGAGGUAGAAUUCCAGGUGUAGGGGUAAAAUGCGUAGAGAUCAAGAGGAAUACUGAUGGCGAAGGCGACCUGCUAGACAAAAACUGACGCUGAGGUGCGAAAGCGUGGGGAGCAAACAGGAUUAGAUACCCCAGUAGUC